rnacentral:rRNA from 1 species
CUUGUACACACCGCCCGUCACACCAUGGGAGUGGGUUUCACCAGAAGUAGGUAGUCUAACCGCAAGGAGGGCGCUUACCACGGUGGGAUUCAUGACUGGGGGUG